rnacentral:rRNA from 1 species
AUUGAACGCUGGCGGCAUGCCUUACACAUGCAAGUCGAACGGUAACGGGCCUUCGGGUGCCGACGAGUGGCGAACGGGUGAGUAAUACAUCGGAACGUGCCCGAUCGUGGGGGAUAACGAGGCGAAAGCUUCGCUAAUACCGCAUACGAUCUACGGAUGAAAGCAGGGGACCGCAAGGCCUUGCGCGGACGGAGCGGCCGAUGGCAGAUUAGGUAGUUGGUGGGAUAAAAGCUUACCAAGCCGACGAUCUGUAGCUGGUCUGAGAGGAUGAUCAGCCACACUGGGACUGAGACCCGGCCCAAACCCCUACGGGGGGCAGCAGGGGGGAAUUUUGGAAAAUGGGCGAAAGCCUGACCCAGCCAUGCCGCGUGAAGGAGGAAGGCCUUCGGGUUGUAAACUGCUUUUGUACGGAAAGAAAACCCUUUUUUUAAUAAAGGAGGGUCAGGACGGGACCGAAAAAAUAAGCCCCGGCUAACUACGG